GACGAACGCUGGCGGCGUGCCUAAUACAUGCAAGUAGAACGCUGAAGGAGGAGCUUGCUUCUCUGGAUGAGUUGCGAGCGGGUGAGUAACGCGUAGGUAACCUGCCUGGUAGCGGGGGAUAACUAUUGGAAACGAUAGCUAAUACCGCAUAAGAGUAGAUGUUGCAUGACAUUUGCUUAAAAGGUGCAAUUGCAUCACUACCAGAUGGACCUGCGUUGUAUUAGCUAGUUGGUGGGGUAACGGCUUACCAAGGCGACGAUACAUAGCCGACCUGAGAGGGUGAUCGGCCACACUGGGACUGAGACACGGCCCAGACUCCUACGGGAGGCAGCAGUAGGGAAUCUUCGGCAAUGGACGGAAGUCUGACCGAGCAACGCCGCGUGAGUGAAGAAGGUUUUCGGAUCGUAAAGCUCUGUUGUAAGAGAAGAACGAGUGUGAGAGUGGAAAGUUCACACUGUGACGGUAUCUUACCAGAAAGGGACGGCUAACUACGUG
rnacentral:rRNA from 1 species